rnacentral:ribozyme from 1 species
AAUUAAAAAAUGAAAAAUAUAAAAUGAAAAAAAUGAAAAAGAAGUUUUGCUGAUAUGAUAUCAAUAUAGAAUUUUUUCAUCUCUCAUAUUUGUCUUUUUUUAU